rnacentral:rRNA from 1 species
UGAGGAAUAUUGGUCAAUGGGCGAGAGCCUGAACCAGCCAAGUCGCGUGAAGGAAGACAGUCCUAAGGAUUGUAAACUUCUUUUAUACGGGAAUAACGGGCGAUACGAGUAUUGCAUCGAAUGUACCGUAAGAAUAAGCAUCGGCUAACUCCGUGCCAGCAGCCGCGGUAAUACGGAGGAUGCGAGCGUUAUCCGGAUUUAUUGGGUUUAAAGGGUGCGUAGGUUGUUCGGUAAGUCAGCGGUGAAACCUGAGCGCUCAACGUUCAGCCUGCCGUUGAAACUGCCGGGCUUGAGUUCAGUGGCGGCAGGCGGAAUUCGUGGUGUAGCGGUGAAAUGCAUAGAUAUCACGAGGAACUCCGAUUGCGAAGGCAGCUUGCCAUACUGCGACUGACACUGAAGCACGAAGGCGUGGGUAUCAAACAGG